CCUACGGGUGGCAGCAGUGAGGAAUAUUGGUCAAUGGACGAGAGUCUGAACCAGCCAAGUAGCGUGAGGGAUGACUGCCCUCUGAUUUGUAAACUUCUUUUAUAUGGUAAUACAAUCUUCCACGUAUUGGAUUUUGUAUUUACCAUAUGAAUAAGGAUCGGCUAACUCCGUGCCAUCAGCCGCGGUGAUACGGAGGAUCCGAGCGUUAUCCGGAUUUAUUGGGCUUAAAGGGAGCGUAGGUGGUAUGUUAAGUCAGUUGUGAAAUUUUGGGGCUCAACCGGAAAAUUGCAGUUGAAACUGGCAGUCUUGAGUACAGUAGAGGUGAGCGGAAUUCGAGGUGUAGCGGUGAAAUGCGUAGAUAUCACGAAGAACUCCGAUUGCGAAGGCAGCUCACUGGACUGCAACUGACACUGAGGAUCGAAAGUGUGGGUAUCAAACAGGAUUAGAUACCCGAGUAGUC
rnacentral:rRNA from 1 species